CCUACGGGUGGCAGCAGUAGGGAAUAUUGCUCAAUGGGGGAAACCCUGAAGCAGCAACGUCGCGUGGAGGAUGAAGGUUUUCUGAUUGUAAACUCCUUUUUUUAGAGAAGAUAAUUACGGUAUCUAACGAAUUAGCACCGUCUAACCCCGUUCCAGCAGCCGCGGUAAUACGGAGGGUGCAAGCGUUACUCGGAAUCACUGGGCGUAAAGAGCGCGUAGGCGGGAUAGCAAGUCAGAUGUGAAAUGCUAUGGCUUAACCAUAGAACUGCAGUGGAAACUGUUAUUCUUGAGUAAGGGAAAGGUAGGUGGAAUUCGUGGUGUAGGGGUAAAAUGCGUAGAGAUCAAGAGGAAUACUGAUUGCGAAGGCGACCUGCUAGAACAUAACUGACGCUGAUGCGCGAAGGCGUGGGUAGCGAACAGGAUUAGAUACCCUAGUAGUC
rnacentral:rRNA from 1 species